GCAAGUCGAGGGGUAACAAUGACGCUUCGGGUGUUGAUGACGACCGGCGAACGGGUGCGUUAACGCGUAUGCAAUCUACCUACAGCAGAGGGAUAGCCCGUGGAAACAUGGAUUAAUACCUCAUAAUACAGGGGGCCCGCAUGGGCAUAUUGUUAAAGCUUUCGGGCGGCUGUAGAUGGGCAUGCGUCCCAUUAGUUAGUUGGUGCGGUAACGGCGUACCAAGACGAUGAUGGGUAGGGGUUCUGAGAGGAUGAUCCCCCACACUGGUACUGAGAUACGGACCAGACUCCUACGGGAGGCAGCAGUAGGGAAUAUUGGUCAAUGGACGGAAGUCUGAACCAGCCAUGCCGCGUGCAGGAAGACGGCCUUCUGGGUUGUAAACUGCUUUUAUCAGGGAAGAAUAAGCUUCUUGCGAGAAGUGAUGCCGGUACCUGAGGAAUAAGCACCGGCUAACUCCGUGCCAGCAGCCGCGGUAAUACGGAGGGUGCGAGCGUUGUCCGGAUUUAUUGGGUUUAAAGGGUGCGUAGGCGGCCUGUUAAGUCAGUGGUGAAAGGUAUCAGCUUAACUGAUGAAGUGCCAUUGAAACUGGCAGGCUUGAGUACAGACGAGGUAGGCGGAAUUUAUGGUGUAGCGGUGAAAUGCAUAGAUACCAUAAAGAACACCGAUAGCGAAGGCAGCUUACUAGGCUGAGACUGACGCUAAUGCACGAAAGCGUGGGGAGCGAACAGGAUUAGAUACCCUGGUAGUCCACGCUGUAA
rnacentral:rRNA from 1 species